rnacentral:rRNA from 1 species
UUGAACGCUGGCGGCAUGCUUUACACAUGCAAGUCGAACGGCAGCACGGGGGCAACCCUGGUGGCGAGUGGCGAACGGGUGAGUAAUAUAUCGGAACAUGUCCGGAAGUGGGGGAUAACGUAGCGAAAGUUACGCUAAUACCGCAUAUGCCCUGAGGGGGAAAGGGGGGGAUCGCAAGACCUCUCGCUUUCGGAGUGGCCGAUAUCGGAUUAGCUAGUUGGUGAGGUAAAGGCUCACCAAGGCGACGAUCCGUAGCUGGUCUGAGAGGACGACCAGCCACACUGGGACUGAGACACGGCCCAGACUCCUACGGGAGGCAGCAGUGGGGAAUUUUGGACAAUGGGGGCAACCCUGAUCCAGCCAUGCCGCGUGAGUGAAGAAGGCCUUCGGGUUGUAAAGCUCCUUCAGACGGAAAGAAAUCGUGCAGAUUAACACUCUGGAUGGAUGACGGUACCGGAAGAAGAAGCACCGGCUAACUACGU